rnacentral:rRNA from 1 species
CAGGCACGCUAGUGAGGAAUCAACUUGAUGGUGUGUGGGUUCGCUCGCAUACUUUCCGGUGCACUUCCUCACUCGGCAGGUUAGCAUCAAUAUCGGUUAUCAUAAAAAAAUUUGAGAGAAUGUGGCUUUUCUUCGGAAAAUGUUAUAGAUCUCGAUCUAUGU